rnacentral:rRNA from 1 species
AUGGAGGACGGGGCUUCGGAUUUCAGCGACUGGGAGGUGCUAUCUGCAUCCUCGGGGGUCGGAGGCGAUGACGCCGUCCUUGUGUCCGGGGAAGGCGGCGACGUCCUCCACGACCACUUCGCCCUCGACUCCUCUUCCUCCACUGGCUUCUCCGGCGAGGGCUCGUGGUCGGAGGCUGCCUCCGACGACGUGGAAAUUGAAUCCGGGUUAGGAUCAGUGGACAGAUUUGGUUCUGCUAUGCAAGAGCAGACGGAUCUUAUUGGGGUGGUGGAUUCCAGCGCACAGUUGCAAUUAGGCUGGAUUGAUGUGACUGCACAAGCCUCGCCGGUUUUUGGAGCCUCCGUGGCAUGUGGUGGGGACGCACAUGAGAAGCAAACUGCGGGGUUAAGUUGUGGUGAGCUUGAUUGGAUUCCGCAAGCCGCGCUUCAAGGGUUGGAGGGAAUUUUGGACUCCGAUGCAACUGCGGUCGCCGGUGUAAGACUCCAGAUAGAAAUAUCAGAGAAGUCUAGUUUGCAAUUGGAAGAUGGAGGGGCUGAUGCCCUUAGCGAAAGCUCUGUUCUUCAAGCUGCUGCAACAAGCGAUGCAAUGCAGACUCUGCAGGAAGAGCCGGAGCAAGGGAAGGAUGCUAGUGCCGCUUCUGGUUGUGCUGAACCUGGUGGCGAUGACAAGGAUGGUUCUUCCCCUCUGGUUGCAGCUGCAGCUCCGGUCACCGGUGAUGGAGAGAGGCAAGUGGUUGUAUGGUGGAGGCUGCCGUUCAGGUUCAUCCAUUAUUGUGCUUGGAAAGUGAGUCCGGUUUGGCCGAUUUCCAUCGCUGCAGCGUUGCUGGGGAUAGUUGUGCUCGGGAGGAGGAUGUAUAGGAUGAGGCGCAAGACCCAGGGCCUUCCCCAGAUUAAGAUCGCAUUUGAUGAUAAGAGGGCCUCCCAGUUUGCAGACCGCGCAGCACGUCUCAACGAGGCCUUCUUGAUCGCAAAACGUGUACCCGCUCUGAGAACUUUGUCUGGUGCUGCACUCCCCUGGUCAAUGAUGCAAGAGAGAUGA